ACUACGGGUGGCAGCAGUGAGGAAUAUUGGUCAAUGGGCGUAAGCCUGAACCAGCCAAGUCGCGUGAGGGAUGAAGGUUCUAUGGAUCGUAAACCUCUUUUAUAAGGGAAUAAAGUGCGGGACGUGUCCCGUUUUGUAUGUACCUUAUGAAUAAGGAUCGGCUAACUCCGUGCCAGCAGCCGCGGUAAUACGGAGGAUCCGAGCGUUAUCCGGAUUUAUUGGGUUUAAAGGGUGCGUAGGCGGCCUUUUAAGUCAGCGGUGAAAGUCUGUGGCUCAACCAUAGAAUUGCAGGUGAAACUGGGAGGCUUGAGUAUGUUUGAGGCAGGCGGAAGGCGUGGUGUAGCGGUGAAAUGCUUAGAUAUCACGAAGAACCCCGAUUGCGAAGGCAGCCUACCAAGCCAUGACUGACGCUGAUGCACGAAAGCGUGGGGAUCAAACAGGAUUAGAUACCCUUGUAGUC
rnacentral:rRNA from 1 species